GGCGAAAAUUCAAAGCAUCAAGGUUAGGUUUUUUCUCUUUCCACAGAUUCACAGUGCACAAAAACGAAACAUCGUCCUUCUGCGCGAAGUUUUAUGGAGUUUCCGAUUAGUAGAAACUUGGAACAGUUCGACUCUAUCGUAUCGCCGUCAUUAGACCGCCCCUGCCGUUGAUAACGCCGUUAUCUGUUACGUAUCCCCGACGCUCAUACCCCCAAUCGUUUUAUGGCGGCGGCCAAGUUGGCGAGUUAUGUAUUGUGAGCACGACGCUUGUGUGUUUGCUCGCGCCGGGCACGACGACAUUAUUAGUGUGUUUUCCCAGCGUUGGAUUAAUCAAGGCCGAGCGCGCGCCCGAAAUAAUUUCCUUAUACGCUACAAGUUACGAGCGGGCGCGACGCGCGCGCGAAAUUUACGAUAAUAACACGCCUCUGCGUAUAUUUCCGGCGCACACACUCGGGUUUGAAGCUGAUUGAUAUGGAGUGGAAGGGAAGCGAGGACGAUCCAUCACAAUGAGUGAAAGGGCGCGUUCGUAAAUUAUCAAACGCAAACGCAAUCAUUAAAAGCGCGUCGGGGCGGAAUCGAAACGAAUUGUCGUGCCGGCGAAUUAGGACUGCAAUUAGAAUUUCAAAUGCGAAUUUGAAAUGGGCGAGGGCGGCGAACAUCACGACACGACAUAAUAAGCCGUUUCGAGCAUUACGGUUACCAUGACAUCGUCAUGUGCCCGCGUGUUGAAAAGCGAUACAAUUCAAAUUAUGCGUGGCCGUUUUUCGGCACCGCACCACUGCAUUUACAAUUUACAUGGAAAUCAAGAGCUUAAAAGAAA